rnacentral:rRNA from 1 species
GACGAACGCUGGCGGCGUGCUUAACACAUGCAAGUCGAACGGAAAGGCCCUGCUUUUGUGGGGUGCUCGAGUGGCGAACGGGUGAGUAACACGUGAGUAACCUGCCCUUGACUUUGGGAUAACUUCAGGAAACUGGGGCUAAUACCGGAUAGGAGCUCCUGCUGCAUGGUGGGGGUUGGAAAGUUUCGGCGGUUGGGGAUGGACUCGCGGCUUAUGAGCUUGUUGGUGGGGUAGUGGCUUACCAAGGGUUUGACGGGUAGCCGGCCUGGGAGGGUGACCGGCCACAAUGGGACUGAGAUACGGCCCAGACUCGUACGGGAGGCAGCAGUGGGGAAUAUUGCACAAUGGGCGGAAGCCUGAUGCAGCAACGCCGCGUGCGGGAUGACGGCCUUCGGGUUGUAAACCGCUUUCGCCUGUGACGAAGCGUGAGUGACGGUAAUGGGUAAAGAAGCACCGGCUAACUACGUG